UACGUAGGCGGAAUAUUAAGUCAGUGGUGAAAUCCUGCAGCUUAACUGUAGAACUGCCAUUGAUACUGGUCUUCUUGAAUAUAGUUGAGGUGGGCGGAAUGUGUAAUGUAGCGGUGAAAUGCUUAGAUAUUACACAGAACACCGAUUGCGAAGGCAGCUCACUAAACUAUCAUUGACGCUGAGGCACGAAAGCGUGGGGAGCGAACAGGAUUAGAUACCCUGGUAGUCC
rnacentral:rRNA from 1 species